rnacentral:piRNA from 1 species
UAGGAGCUCAGUUUAAGAAAGAGCACGUGA